rnacentral:rRNA from 1 species
CCUACGGGAGGCAGCAGUGGGGAAUAUUGGACAAUGGGCGCAAGCCUGAUCCAGCCAUGCCGCGUGAGUGAUGAAGGCCUUAGGGUUGUAAAGCUCUUUCAGUAGGGAAGAUAAUGACGGUACCUACAGAAGAAGCCCCGGCUAACUUCGUGCCAGCAGCCGCGGUAAUACGAAGGGGGGCUAGCGUUGUUCGGAUUUACUGGGCGUAAAGCGCACGUAGGCGGAUCGUUAAGUUAGGGGUGAAAUCCUGGAGCUCAACUCCAGAACUGCCUCUAAUACUGGCGAUCUAGAGUCCGGAAGAGGUGAGUGGAACUCCUAGUGUAGAGGUGGAAUUCGUAGAUAUUAGGAAGAACACCAGUGGCGAAGGCGGCUCACUGGUCCGGUACUGACGCUGAGGUGCGAAAGCGUGGAGAGCAAACAGGAUUAGAUACCCUGGUAGUCCACGCCGUAAACUAUGAGAGCUAGCCGUUGGGGAGUUUACUCCUCAGUGGCGCAGCUAACGCAUUAAGCUCUCCGCCUGGGGAGUACGGUCGCAAGAUUAAACUCAAAGGAAUUGACGG